rnacentral:rRNA from 1 species
UACGGAGGGAGCUAGCGUUGUUCGGAAUUACUGGGCGUAAAGCGCACGUAGGCGGCUUUUUAAGUCAGAGGUGAAAUCCCGGGGCUCAACCCCGGAACUGCCUUUGAAACUGGGAAGCUAGAAUCUUGGAGAGGCGAGUGGAAUUCCGAGUGUAGAGGUGAAAUUCGUAGAUAUUCGGAAGAACACCAGUGGCGAAGGCGACUCGCUGGACAAGUAUUGACGCUGAGGUGCGAAAGCGUGGGGAGCGAACAGG